rnacentral:rRNA from 1 species
UACGUAGGGUGCGAGCGUUGUCCGGAAUUAUUGGGCGUAAAGAGCUCGUAGGCGGUGUGUCGCGUCGGCCGUGAAAACCUGCAGCUUAACUGUGGGCUUGCGGUCGAUACGGGCAUCACUGGAGUUCGGCAGGGGAGACUGGAAUUCCUGGUGUAGCGGUGAAAUGCGCAGAUAUCAGGAGGAACACCGGUGGGCGAAGGCGGGUCUCUGGGCCGAAUACUGAC